AGCGACGCAAAAUACAGCAUGUGGAUUUACACAGACCCAUAAAUCCCUGUGUGGAAAGUGUGGUAUACUUAGAAUAUAAACACUCUAUUUCUAAACUGCAGAAACUUUGAAACAUAUUUUCUCUUAGACAUGCUGGCAUCCAGAAAUAGACGACAGCAAGAGCACAUCACACACCUUGUUUAGAGCCAACAAUUGAGAUUGGAUGGCUGGAGAGAUCCUGCUUGUUUGCAAAGCGAAGAGAGGUAACAGACGAGAGGGACGUAGGAAAACGUGUGAAAGUGAGACCUGGAAAACUUAAGACUUAAAGACAUGAACAAUGUCCAAAGGGUUCGUACAAUAACAAAAUCCUCACAGCCUUUUUUCAAGUCAGCCAGGAGGAGGCACGACUAUCUGGCACUGAAACGACCCGGCCUCCCACUACUUUGGUUGAGGCUUUAUUUUCUUCUUCAAGUGACAAUGGUGCAGAAAAUGAAGAAGAUGAGUGUGAGCCACCUGCCCCUCAGCUAUCCGCCUGGCACAUUGCCCACUAAAACCUUUGUGGGACAAUAUGCUUUAACUGAUUCAGUCCAAACUUUUUGCAGUUAUAGUCAUGAUGUUGAUGAAUACAACCUGGGGCUUCUAUAGGAUUUCCAAAAGAUUAAGAAAAAACCUUUGGCGAGGUUCCAAAAAUUUGUUUUUCUUUGUAGAAUCACAAAUUAAUCGGAGAUAGUGAAAGAUACAAUAGUGGUUCCCCUUGAAAAAUAUUAUUUUAUGUCUUACAUUUACACAGGUACCAAAGGUUGCAUGUAGACCUUAUAACUGAAGAGCUAUACUUGGUUUAUUUAAGUUUUGUAUUUCAGGCAGAAAUUGUUCUAAAACCCCUUAUGUCUUAACAGGUUAAUAAAAUAGUAAUAAUCAUUAUGUUGAACCAUACCAAUAAUCAGAGAAACACUUAAGAAGGAUCAUGGUAACUUUGAAGGUGUCAUGGUUUGGAGCGUGAGUGUGCUUCGUUUGCCAUCGUUUACCUCUGCUUCAAGUGACAGGUUUAGAGCGGUGGAUGUGCCUGAGACAGCUGGUUGCCCUCACACCUGAGUGCAAUUGUCAAACAAUACUGGUAGAAUCAAGCUGAACAUUCAGUUUCUAAGCUCCCUAUGAGAUUAUCUUGCGUGUUUCGGCCUUCUGCGCUUUCUCAGAUCAGCCCUGGAAGACAUCUUACCUGAUUAGACCCUUGAACUUUUUGAAGUUUUUCUGGUCUGAGCACAUUUUCAUUGUGCUUCAAUGUCCUCUACAUCAACUCUAUGUCAACUCCAAAACCUCUGUAAUUCUCUGAAGAACCUCAGCCCUGGGUCGUCACUUGCAGAUCGUUUACGAACGAGUUCCUCUGCCUGACCAGUCUCCAUCAUGCCAUCUGUCAACAAACCCAGACACAACAGCCUUCUCCAGAUCAAGAGCUAUACUUACCGCUGAACCAAUGGGAUCGCCCCUCGUCUGCACUGCCACCUCUCCUCAGAUCCAAGAUCUGCUCUGGCUGGAAACAGACCUCCAUUAUUCUCUUAAUAAAUAUCAAAAGUAGAUUGUGGUCUCUGAAUCGUUUCUGUAUGUGGGUCAAGAAACUAACCUCAAAUAUGACAGGAGAAGCUGAAGCUCAUUU